CUAAGGUCCCAAAGUCAUGGUUAAGUGGGAAACGAUGUGGGAAGGCCCAGACAGCCAGGAUGUUGGCUUAGAAGCAGCCAUCAUUUAAAGAAAGCGUAAUAGCUCACUGGUCGAGUCGGCCUGCGCGGAAGAUGUAACGGGGCUAAACCAUGCACCGAAGCUGCGGCAGCGACACUGUGUGUUGUUGGGUAGGGGAGCGUUCUGUAAGCCUGUGAAGGUGUGUCGUGAGGCAUGCUGGAGGUAUCAGAAGUGCGAAUGCUGACAUAAGUAACGAUAAAGCGGGUGAAAAGCCCGCUCGCCGGAAGACCAAGGGUUCCUGUCCAACGUUAAUCGGGGCAGGGUGAGUCGACCCCUAAGGCGAGGCCGAAAGGCGUAGUCGAUGGGAAACGGGUUAAUAUUCCCGUACUUGGUGUUACUGCGAAGGGGGGACGGAGAAGGCUAUGUUGGCCGGGCGACGGUUGUCCCGGUUUAAGCGUGUAGGUGUGUGUUCCAGGUAAAUCCGGUUCACUUUAACACUGAGGCGUGACGACGAGGCACUACGGUGCUGAAGCAACAAAUGCCCUGCUUCCAGGAAAAGCCUCUAAGCAUCAGGUAACAUCAAAUCGUACCCCAAACCGACACAGGUGGUCAGGUAGAGAAUACCAAGGCGCUUGAGAGAACUCGGGUGAAGGAACUAGGCAAAAUGGUGCCGUAACUUCGGGAGAAGGCACGCUGACACGUAGGUGAAGUGAUUUACUCAUGGAGCUGAAGUCAGUCGAAGAUACCAGCUGGCUGCAACUGUUUAUUAAAAACACAGCACUGUGCAAACACGAAAGUGGACGUAUACGGUGUGACGCCUGCCCGGUGCCGGAAGGUUAAUUGAUGGGGUCAGCGCAAGCGAAGCUCCUGAUCGAAGCCCCGGUAAACGGCGGCCGUAACUAUAACGGUCCUAAGGUAGCGAAAUUCCUUGUCGGGUAAGUUCCGACCUGCACGAAUGGCGUAAUGAUGGCCAGGCUGUCUCCACCCGAGACUCAGUGAAAUUGAACUCGCUGUGAAGAUGCAGUGUACCCGCGGCAAGACGGAAAGACCCCGUGAACCUUUACUAUAGCUUGACACUGAACAUUGAGCCUUGAUGUGUAGGAUAGGUGGGAGGCUUUGAAGUGUGGACGCCAGUCUGCAUGGAGCCGACCUUGAAAUACCACCCUUUAAUGUUUGAUGUUCUAACGUGGACCCGUUACCCGGGUUGCGGACAGUGUCUGGUGGGUAGUUUGACUGGGGCGGUCUCCUCCUAAAGAGUAACGGAGGAGCACGAAGGUUGGCUAAUCCUGGUCGGACAUCAGGAGGUUAGUGCAAUGGCAUAAGCCAGCUUGACUGCGAGCGUGACGGCGCGAGCAGGUGCGAAAGCAGGUCAUAGUGAUCCGGUGGUUCUGAAUGGAAGGGCCAUCGCUCAACGGAUAAAAGGUACUCCGGGGAUAACAGGCUGAUACCGCCCAAGAGUUCAUAUCGACGGCGGUGUUUGGCACCUCGAUGUCGGCUCAUCACAUCCUGGGGCUGAAGUAGGUCCCAAGGGUAUGGCUGUUCGCCAUUUAAAGUGGUACGCGAGCUGGGUUUAGAACGUCGUGAGACAGUUCGGUCCCUAUCUGCCGUGGGCGCUGGAGAACUGAGGGGGGCUGCUCCUAGUACGAGAGGACCGGAGUGGACGCAUCACUGGUGUUCGGGUUGUCAUGCCAAUGGCACUGCCCGGUAGCUAAAUGCGGAAGAGAUAAGUGCUGAAAGCAUCUAAGCACGAAACUUGCCCCGA
rnacentral:rRNA from 3 species